CUAUUAUUAGGGAUUGAUAUAAUCCAAUUAUAUCAUGAAAUAUAUCAUUAUAGAUUUCCAUCCCAUGUAUCUAGACUAUAUCUCCCAUAUACAUUCUAUCUUCAUAUAAUGUAUUAAAGUCAUAACUUUAACGAAGAAGUAUUCUUUUUAUUUCCAAAAUUAAUAUAUCAUAUAUACUUAAAUUUUAGGAACAUGAUUAACUCCCACUAAUCUUUUGUAAAACUCGUAAACAAAAGAUUCAUUUACAUCUUGAUGAGAAAUCAAACGAUUUGAUUCUUUUUCCUCAUAAAAUGCAAAUAGCUCCCACUAACUUGCUAAGAUCCAUGAUGGAUGGAUCUCUACAACUUACAUGUCUUGUGAUUUAUAGUUUUGGACAUAUAUUAUCAAGACUAUCUUAAUAAUGGUUUCGGAAACCCAUAUUAUGUCAAAACAUUGAAUCACCAUUUUAGUUGUAGCUAGCAAUCUUCGAAUUAAUUGAAACCAAGCCUACCUCAAAGAUGGUUUCUUCAAAGUCAACCAUUCUCUUUGAUUGUAGUUACCUUAAGCUACCAAUUAGCUAUGAAGGAUUCAUUAUUUCGAGUCAAAUGGUACUUUACCAUUUCCUUGAGUAUAUAUCGUAUAUGCACUCAAUGUAGUCAUAAGGAUUUUCAUUCUUAUCGACUACCUUGGAGCUUGUGGUAUAGGAACUAGGUUGUUAUAUAUUUGUUGAUUACUUCCUUGUUUCUCAAAGAACCCAUUCUUUGAGUUCUAUCUCUCGUUCAUUUGCUCUUAGGCAAAUCACAUUGUAGGAUUACAAUGAACUUCCCAACAAAACAACAUUUGUUAGUUGGUUUAUAGAAGCGAUAUCCAAAAGUUAUUUUAAGGAUAUCCUACAAGAUUGUUAUCAAACGAAUAUUGGUUAUUAGCACACAACCCCAAAUCUUUAACAUGCUUAAGAUUUGUCUUUCUUUUCCAACU
rnacentral:lncRNA from 1 species